rnacentral:rRNA from 1 species
AUUGAACGCUGGCGGCAUGCCUUACACAUGCAAGUCGAACGGCAGCAUGAUCUAGCUUGCUAGAUUGAUGGCGAGUGGCGAACGGGUGAGUAAUACAUCGGAACGUGCCCUGUAGUGGGGGAUAACUAGUCGAAAGAUUAGCUAAUACCGCAUACGACCUGAGGGUGAAAGUGGGGGACCGCAAGGCCUCAUGCUAUAGGAGCAGCCGCUGUCUGAUUAGCUAGUUGGUGGGGUAAAGGCUCACCAAGGCGACGAUCAGUAGCUGGUCUGAGAGGACGAUCAGCCACACCUGGACUGAUACACGGCCCAGACUCCUACGGGAGGCAGCAGUGAGGAAUUUUGGACGAUGGGCGAAAGCCUGAUCCAGCAAUGCCGCAUGUGUGAAGAAGGCCUUCGGGUUGUAAAGCACUUGUGUCCGGAAAGAAAUGGCUCUGGUUAAUACCUGGGGUCGAUGACGGUACCGAAAGAAUAAGGACCGGCUAACUACGUG